UACAUGCAAGUCGAACGAGCUUCCGUUGAAUGACGUGCUUGCACUGAUUUCAACAAUGAAGCGAGUGGCGAACUGGUGAGUAACACGUGGGGAAUCUGCCCAGAAGCAGGGGAUAACACUUGGAAACAGGUGCUAAUACCGUAUAACAACAAAAUCCGCAUGGAUUUUGUUUGAAAGGUGGCUUCGGCUAUCACUUCUGGAUGAUCCCGCGGCGUAUUAGUUAGUUGGUGAGGUAAAGGCCCACCAAGACGAUGAUACGUAGCCGACCUGAGAGGGUAAUCGGCCACAUUGGGACUGAGACACGGCCCAAACUCCUACGGGAGGCAGCAGUAGGGAAUCUUCCACAAUGGACGAAAGUCUGAUGGAGCAAUGCCGCGUGAGUGAAGAAGGGUUUCGGCUCGUAAAACUCUGUUGUUAAAGAAGAACACCUUUGAGAGUAACUGUUCAAGGGUUGACGGUAUUUAACCAGAAAGCCACGGCUAACUACGUGCCAGCAGCCGCGGUAAUACGUAGGUGGCAAGCGUUGUCCGGAUUUAUUGGGCGUAAAGCGAGCGCAGGCGGUUUUUUAAGUCUGAUGUGAAAGCCUUCGGCUUAACCGGAGAAGUGCAUCGGAAACUGGGAGACUUGAGUGCAGAAGAGGACAGUGGAACUCCAUGUGUAGCGGUGGAAUGCGUAGAUAUAUGGAAGAACACCAGUGGCGAAGGCGGCUGUCUAGUCUGUAACUGACGCUGAGGCUCGAAAGCAUGGGGUAGCGAACAGGAUUAGAUACCCUGGGUAGUC
rnacentral:rRNA from 1 species